AUUAGAUACCCUGGGUAGUCCGCACGGUAAACGAUGGAUGCCCGCCGUCGGCAUAUGAUGUCGGCGGCCAAGCGAAAGCGUUAAGCAUCCCACCUGGGGAGUACGCCGGCAACGGUGAAACUCAAAGGAAUUGACGGGGGCCCGCACAAGCGGAGGAACAUGUGGUUUAAUUCGAUGAUACGCGAGGAACCUUACCCGGGCUUGAACUGCAGGAGAACGAUUCAGAGAUGAUGAGGCCCUUCGGGGCUCCUGUGGAGGUGCUGCAUGGUUGUCGUCAGCUCGUGCCGUGAGGUGUCGGCUUAAGUGCCAUAACGAGCGCAACCCCUCUCGCCAGUUGCCAUCGGGUGAUGCCGGGCACUCUGGCGACACUGCCGCCGCAAGGUGUGAGGAAGGUGGGGAUGACGUCAAAUCAGCACGGCCCUUACGUCCGGGGCUACACACGUGUUACAAUGGGGCAUACAGAGAGUUGGCCAUGCGCAAGUAUGGCCGGAUCAAGAAAGUGCCCCUCAGUUCGGACUGGGGUCUGCAACCCGACCCCACGAAGCUGGAUUCGCUAGUAAUCGCGCAUC
rnacentral:rRNA from 1 species